rfam:Schistocephalus solidus strain NST_G2 genome assembly, scaffold: SSLN_contig0000077
GGCCUCGUAGCUCAGUUGGCUAGAGCGUUGGCUGUACUAAAGCCUUAACCUUGCUAGCGUGGGUUGGAAUCCCACCGAGGCCG